AGCCGGAAUAGCUCAGUUGGUAGAGCAGAGGCUGAAAAUCCUCGUGUCACCAGUU
rnacentral:tRNA from 1 species